rnacentral:rRNA from 1 species
CUACGGAGGGUGCAAGCGUUAAUCAGAAUUACUGGGCGUAAAGAGUACGUAGGUGGUUCGUUAAGUCAGAUGUGAAAGCCCAGGGCUCAACCUUGGAACUGCAUUUGAUACUGGCGAACUAGAGUAUGGUAGAGGGGGGUAGAAUUCAUAGUGUAGCGGUGAAAUGCGUAGAUAUUAUGAGGAAUACCAGUGGCGAAGGCGGCCCCCUGGACCAAUACUGACACUGAGGUACGAAAGCGUGGGGAGCGAACAGGAUUAGAAACCCCAGUAGUCC